rnacentral:rRNA from 1 species
GAGGAAUAUUGGUCAAUGGGCGAGAGCCUGAACCAGCCAAAUCGCGUGAAGGAAGACUGCCUUAUGGGUUGUAAACUUCUUUUAUCAGGGAAUAAAAAGAGUUACGAGUAACUUAUUGCAUGUACCUGAUGAAUAAGCAUCGGCUAACUCCGUGCCAGCAGCCGCGGUAAUACGGAGGAUGCGAGCGUUAUCCGGAUUUAUUGGGUUUAAAGGGUGCGCAGGCGGGCUUUUAAGUCAGCGGUGAAAUCCCAACGCUUAACGUUGGAACUGCCGUUGAAACUGGGAGUCUUGAGUAUAGAUGAAGUAGGCGGAAUUCGUUGUGUAGCGGUGACAUGCUUAGAUAUAACGAGGAACUCCGAUUGCGUAGGCAGCUUACUAAGCUAUAACUGACGCUCAAGCACGAAAGCGUGGGGAUCAAAC